CAAUGGGCUAUUUACCAAGCCUUAUAUCAUCGACUAUUCGACUCCGACGAAGUUUAAUACUUAUUAGUUAUAUACAGAAAUUAGGCUUCUCCGCCGUUCCGGAGUUGCAUUCACCGCCACUUUUCUUUUAAUUUUUCUUCUCUAGUAUUAAUUUUAUUAAUCCCCACACGCAAGCCAGGCCACAUUCUUCCCCGCCCCUUCUUUUUCAAAUAACACCAGAAAAUGAAACGAAGUUGAAAAACCCAGAACAGAAAAACAAAGAAAAAAAAUUAUUACUUUUUUGGAGAGAUUUCUUUAUUAUUAUUUUUCUCAGAUUAUGGGAUCUGUUACAAUGGACCCUGCCGUUUUGGAUAAUAUAAUAUGUCGUUUAUUGGAGUUUAAGCAGGAAAGGACAGGGGGCAAGCAAGUGCAGCUGAUGGAAGGUGAGAUCCGUCAGCUUUGCACUGUUGCAAGGGAGAUAUUUAUUCAACAGCCAACUCUUCUUGAACUUGAAGCUCCCAUUAAGAUAUGUGGUGACAUUCACGGGCAGUAUGUUGAUCUUCUGCGUAUUUUUGAGUAUGGGGGUUUCCCUCCCAGUGUUAAUUAUUUAUUCCUGGGGGACUAUGUUGAUCGUGGCAAGCAGAGUCUAGAAACUAUAUGCCUUUUGCUGGCCUAUAAGAUCAAAUAUCCUGAUAACUUGUUUCUUUUGCGAGGGAAUCAUGAAUGUGCUUCUAUUAAUCGGAUUUAUGGAUUUUAUGAUGAAUGCAAACGAAGGUUCAAUGUGAAAGUUUGGAGAAUCUUUACCGAGUGUUUUAACUGUCUUCCCGUGGUUGCUUUAAUAGAUGACAAAAUUUUGUGUAUGCAUGGUGGCCUUUCCCCUGAUCUAACAAAUUUGGAUCAGAUAAGGGCCUUAACCCGUCCAACUGAUGUUCCUGAUACUGGUUUGCUUUGUGAUUUACUUUGGUCAGAUCCUGGUAGGGAUAUCAAAGGCUGGGGCAUGAGUGAUCGAGGAGUCUCGUUCACAUUUGGCCCAGAUAGAGUCUCUGACUUCUUAGUGAAAAAUGAUCUGGACCUCAUUUGCCGUGCCCAUCAGGUUGUUGAAGAUGGUUAUGAGUUCUUUGCUGACAGACAGCUUGUUACAAUAUUUUCCGCUCCCAACUACUGUGGCGAAUUUGAUAAUGCUGGUGCAAUGAUGAGUGUUGAUGAAAGCCUAAUGUGUUCUUUCCAAAUUCUUAAGCCUGCUGAUAAAAGACUCGGGUUCAGUUGAGGGACACUACCGACUUCUGCCUCCGUUCCUACACGGAUUUGCUGAUUUGUGAUUCGAGAUGAAAGUUUCUAUGAUUUUCAGACGCCAGAGUUGGAGGCUUUUUGAAGAUAUGAGAUAUGCAAUAUCACCAUUUCCUCAUUUUAAGGAAAGAAAUGGGUCAUUACAGAAGGUGAUCGCCCAGCUUCAAACUGAUUUUUCUCAAAUGGAUGGUAAGUUUGAGACACAAUUGAAAGAGAUUAGAGAAGAGUUCAAGGGUGAGAUUAAUAGUGAGUUGCAAUCUUUGUUCGAGAGAUAUUUUGGCCAACCAUCUAAUGGCAGUUUUUGGGUCAACACCAGACAAAGGGAAAGGCAUUCGAGGCACACGACCACCAAGGUUCCCUCCUAAAGACACCUUGGCAGUUUCUCCAGCACCUAAGCUGAUUUACACAUGAGCUACUUCACGAAUGAGUAGUAUUGAGACACUAACAAAGCCAUUCAAGUUUGACUGACCACGUUUUGAUGGACCGACUUCAAGGGCUGGUGGUUGAAAACGGAGCAAUUCUUUGAGGCUGAAAGAGUCUUCUUGGAUCAUGUCAAGGUAAGGCUUUAGAUUGGCACCAUUUUUUUUUGCUCAUAGGGGGCCUUCAUAUACUUACCUAAUAUGUAUAUGCACAAGGCUUGAAAGAGAGAUUUGGGUCUAGUUCAUUUUUGGACCCCAUGGCAGAGCUAGUUUCACUCAAGCAACAGGGUACUGUUGACUAGUACCAUGAUACCGUGUUGCCUUUAUAAGCUUGUUGAACUAAUUACAUUUGCCUAAAAAUUAUGCUCUUAGUAACUUGACAUGGACCAA